GACGAACGCUGGCGGCGUGCUUAACACAUGCAAGUCGAACGGAAAGGCCCUGCUUUUGCGGGGUGCUAGAGUGGCGAACGGGUGUGUAACACGUGAGUAACCUGCCCUUGACUGUGGGACAACUUCAGGAAACUGGGGCUAAUACCUGAUAGGUGCGCCUGCUGCAUGGGGGGGGUCGGACAGUUUCGGUGGAUGGGGCUGGACUCGCGGUUAAUCAGCUUGUUGGUGGGGUAGUCGCUUACCAACGGUUCGGCGGGUAGCCCGCGUGAGUGCUUGGACAGCGACCUUACGCCUACGGUACGGCCCAGUCUCCAACGGUAGGCAGCAGUGGGGAAUAUUGCACAAUGGGCGGAAGCCUGAUGCAGAGAUGCCGCGUGCGGGAUGACGGCCUACGGGUUGUAAACCGCAUUCACCUGUGACGAAGCGUGAGUGACGGUAAUGGGUAAAGAAGCACCGGCUAACUACGUG
rnacentral:rRNA from 1 species